UGCGGAAGUGAAAAAUGGUGAUAGAAAAUUACUUUUGGUGUUCUUUUUUUCUUCGAAACGUCGUGUAUUUGUUGUUUUUGGCUGAAUACGAAUAAUAGGAAGCUAAUCAGUCGCGUGAAACUGAAGCUUCCAAUAGUCAAGACAACGGUAACAGCACCUGGGUUAUUGGCUUCAUGAUGCCGGUUGUUGGUGUCAGUAAGUGUAUCGAUGGCUUACAUAGGACGGCUCCCACCAUAGUUAAGUAAGGUUGCCUAUGACUUCCUUAUCGAUAACGAUUUUCCAGUGUUUAAUACGCUUAUGAUCGACGGUAAUGCAUGGUAAGCCAAUCGAUACCUAGGUCGUUACAUCGA